CCGAGUGAAGGGUCUACCCGACCCGACCUCCAACCCUUUGUUUAAAACUACCGCGUUGCCUCGGGGGAGGCGGGCCUCGCGGCCCGCGGCCCCGGUGGCCUACUCAAACUCUGCUUCUUACGUCGUCUGAGUCUACUCGAGAAAUCGAAACA
rnacentral:misc_RNA from 1 species